CCUACGGGGAGUAGCAGUGAGGAAUAUUGGUCAAUGGGCGUAAGCCUGAACCAGCCAAGUCGCUUGAGGGAUGAAGGUUCUAUGGAUCGUAAACCUCUUUUAUAAGGGAAUAAAGUGUGGGACGUGUCCUGUUUUGUAUGUACCUUAUGAAUAAGGAUCGCCUAACUCCGUGCCAGCAGCCGCGGUAAUACGGAGGAUCCGAGCGUUGUCCGGAUUUAUUGGGUUUAAAGGGUGCGUAGGCGGCCUUUUAAGUCAGCGGUGAAAGUCGGUGGCUCAACCAUAGAAUUGCCGUUGAAACUGGGAGGCUUGAGUAUGUGUGAGGCAGGCGGAAUGCGGGGUGUAGCGGUGAAAUGCUUAGAUAUCACGCAGAACCCCGAUGGCGAAGGCAGCCUGCCAAGCCAUGACUGACGCUGAUGCACGAAAGCGUGGGGAUCAAACAGGAUUAGAUACCCGAGUAGUC
rnacentral:rRNA from 1 species